rnacentral:lncRNA from 10 species
UAGGCUCCUUCACAGCAUGGCAGCCAACUAUGCCCUAGGUGGAGGCUCUGCCCGUAGGGCUAUCUUGCCACCAAUACCCUCCAGGGUCAUUUGAGAUUAAGGAAGGACUGAGGGGCAAGUGGAGGCAUUUAAACAAUUUGGCUCAGAGGGAAGCAGAUGCCACUGACUCUCCCUGGCUACAGUGGCACUCAGGGCCUUGCCCUGGCUACCUCCACUGCUGCAGGAGAUGCCUGGCCUGUGACCACUGUGUUCACACGGGAGGGACAGCAGAGCACCAAGCCUAGCAUCACUGGACAUUGCUGACCUGUCCCUCUUUGGCCAAGGAAGGAUAUUAAAGAAAUGGAAGUCAUCCGUGGUUGAAACUCAGCUGCAGCUGAGGGACUGGGUUGGAUCAGGGAGGGGGACAGGGAGAAG